rnacentral:lncRNA from 1 species
AAAUAUAACAAAUUAUUUUGGACUUGGGUCUCCCUCAUUCCAAGCCCAUUACCCACGAAAUUAGUCUAUAAAUACUGAAGUUUCAGUAGGGGGAGUGAGACUUGGAGUUUACACUGGGAGAUUCACUGGAGAAAGAGGAAGAGAAGCAAAACACUCUGAGGUUUCCUUGGAACAAAACCUUGAGGAAAAAGAAAGAAAGAGAACAGAGAAGGACGGAUAGAAACUUUGGCAUAGGAACCCUGCCUACCCGGAGAAUUCAGAGUAAAGAAACCCUGAAGGCAACCCAUCUGCACCGAAGCCAUCGCCGUCCAAUUCCCGCUGCCUAACUUAUUCCGAACUACAAAUGGUCAAUCCCUUCAACCUUGAAUUGGCAAACAGGUUUUGCGUAUCUCUAUUGUUUAUACUUUCAAUUGGCCAUAUCUACAUAUAUAAUGCAUCAUGAUUAAAUGUUGAUAUAUAAUUUGCUUUCGUAUGGGAAUUUAAAUAUGCCUGAAUAUCCUGAAUGUUUGAUCAUGUUAUUCCUGUGAUAAAAUGCCAUAAAAUUCAAAG